GCUCUGUCUGUGGCUCAGUACUGUCGAUUGCAUUGCCUGUGCUCCGCGGUUCCUGCAAUGCUAAUUCUGUUUGCAGUCUCGUUGUUCUUCAGUCCCCACCGUGUCUUGUAUUUGGACGAGCUCAUGCUAAUAUGUGGUGGUACACUACCUGGGCAAGGUCAUUUUGAUACUGAUACUUGUGGGCAGCAGAGGGUUCAAAGCCUGACCAUCUCAUGGAUCCGCUGAUAAUAUCCCGGAAGUAGCGCGACAACAAUUCUUCUUCCUCAAAGCAUAUAUUUUCUCCAAGCGAUCAACAAAGUGUUUGGUCCAUUUGGAAGGUACUUGAUGCCUCUUGGUCAGAAGAUGAUGGCGAGUUCCUCAUUCCAAUUGAGUUUAUAUUGUGUAGGUUUCUUCGUCAUGAUCUGGAUUGCCGCAGUCAUGUUCAAGUCCAAUGAUAUCUUGCGCAAGCAGACCGCUCUCAAGAUACAACGGUCCGGCAAGCUGCUAUGGUGGUCAAGUGUGUGCUGCCUAGGAAAAUAGAUAUUUAGUUUUAGGUCAUUUCUUGUAAUUUCAGAUAUGGAGUGCUUGUCUUUAGUUUUUGUUUUUUACUUUGUGAAAUUUGCUACCUAUGGAUGAA